UGCCAGACUCCUACGGGAGGCAGCAGUGGGGAAUAUUGCACAAUGGGGGAAACCCUGAUGCAGCGACGCCGCGUGAGUGAAGAAGUAUUUCGGUAUGUAAAGCUCUAUCAGCAGGGAAGAAAAUGACGGUACCUGACUAAGAAGCCCCGGCUAACUACGUGCCAGCAGCCGCGGUAAUACGUAGGGGGCAAGCGUUAUCCGGAUUUACUGGGUGUAAAGGGAGCGCAGGCGGCGCGCCAAGUCUGAUGUGAAACCCCGGGGCUCAACCCCGGGCAUGCAUUGGAAACUGGCGGGCUGGAGUGCCGGAGAGGUAAGCGGAAUUCCUAGUGUAGCGGUGAAAUGCGUAGAUAUUAGGAGGAACACCAGUGGCGAAGGCGGCUUACUGGACGGCAACUGACGCUGAGGCUCGAAAGCGUGGGGAGCAAACAGGAUUAGAUACCCGUGUA
rnacentral:rRNA from 1 species